CAGUGUUAUAAGCCAGCCAUAUGUUACAAGAAGGAUAAUAAAUUGGGGUUAAGUACAUCACUUCAAAAAUAUACUCAUCCUAUGCUGUUCAAUUUUUAUUUUUAUUCCACACCUUUCUUAUUAAUACGUGACAAUCAAACAACCCUUAUAUUAUAAACACGCAAAAUAAAAAUAAAAACAUCUAAAUAUAAAAUUACAAAAAAAAACAUCUGUGGUUUCGUUCGUGCACAGGUUGACUCUGAGAUUCAUCAUCAUCUGCAUGCAGAACUUUUAGUUUCCGCUACUUACUUGGUUUCUGUAUCCAGUGUGACAAUUUGAAUAAAUUGAUGUUCACAUUUGAAUAUUAAGAUUUCUACUCUUGAUACAUAUUGUCUCUGUCCCUGACUUUUGCAACUGUUUUAGGAGAAGAUUCUUCCUUUGGAUAAAGCUUUUUCUUAAAAAAAAAAUUAUGGGGAGAGAGAGUGUUUGCAUUAAAGUUUGUGCUGGGCAUUUGAAGUUGAGAUCACAGUUACUUGUUUGUUCCCUUGAGAUGGAAGAUUUCAGCGCAAACAGCUGCAGUAGCUUGCCUUUCUGCUUGUCUACCGAAUAGUUUUCUAAACUCAUCACCAUAGGCUUCCAUCGAUUUACAUGUUAUUGUGUGAUACAAAGAUCCCCUGAUGUUUGGAGGUUUCAUUUGGGAUGUGUGGUGGAUCAUAAGUGCACAUAGAGUGAGGAGGAGAUGAUUUGUAGGUGAAGUUUUGGGCUGGUGAGCGAAAUUUGGAGCAACUGUGGGAUGGAAAGGAACAAGUCAACAUUGUCUGGUUAAUUUUGUUCUAUUUCAUGGCGCAUCUACGAGUGAUUAGUAGGGGAGGGUUAGUCCAUCCUAAUUCCUUUUUGUUUAUUAAGGGGGGAUGCUGACAGUGCAUUGGACCGGCUCUGGCAGAAGAAGAAACCUGGAGUUCGACAACAGUAGAAUGAGAUGAUCGAUACGCUGGAGGGGGGAGAUUCUGCUGUUUAGAUGUUUGCUAUGCUUUCCUAGUAGUAGUUUUGAACAUCACAACUAGCUCCAAAGUAAGCUCCAAAGUUUCGCGCGUUGUACUUUGGAAAAAAGCUGGAGACCCCAAUGGUUUUGUUUAUGAAUGAUCGACUUCGCAUGUAUGUUACCAUGAUGGUUUAAAAACAAACUCAAGCGGUUUGCAUAUGUGCUUGUUGCUAGUUUGAGGGAUAUAUUUGCAUAAUGAUAUGGAAUCUAUCUGGGUUUGAAGAUUGAUAUGAAA